UUCUCUCUCCUGAUAUGUUACCUCACCCUUUUUGGUCCAACAGACUUAAGCUUCAAGAGAUAAACCUAAGCAGCAUCAAGAUCCCAGAUUAAGUCACAAGCAUUCUAACAAGUGGGUGGACCAUGGCAAUGGGACAUCUAGGAGAAUACUAUCUAGAAGUCCAAGUAGGUGUCAUCUUGGACAUUUGUCUUCAGGAAGCAGAGCCCCAGACAUAGAGAUCAGGGCUAGCGGUCAGGGUUAGGGCUCCAGUUCCUACAUGAGAACCAAGGAUAAGUGAGAGAAUUGGAAUAGGAACUUGGAAUGGCAUCCACAACAGGAUUCCAGUCCCAUGAGCAUGGUAUAGGAGUAGAGUUGGCCAGAGAGGGUAGGUUUGGAAACUUAGGCUUUAGGAUAAGGAGGGACUUCUGCUGGGGGGAUGAGAGUAAGAGAUCAACUCAAGACCUCAGUGGUCAAUGCAAAGGUACCAUGACCAAGGAUGGCUAACAGGGAUAGUGAGGUGAUAACCCUCAACUGGGGACAGUGGUUGCUUGAGCAGACUGUCCUCAGGUCCUUAUUGGUCUUGGUAGGAGGAUAAUUGAGUCUGAAGGAGAGAACAUUGGUAUAUCUAAAUAUGGAUUGUUGCAUCAGAGAGUGUAGGGGACACUGACAGUUAGGGACUGGAGUGGAGAAUGAAGGAAGAUAUGUCCUACAGCAUCAUCUCAAAAAUGUUUCUUCUCUGGAGGUUUGUGAGAUGUUGUGUGGUGGAAUGGAAAGUGCAUGAAUGUUUGAGUCAGGUAGAUUUGUAUUAAAUCUUGGCUCUGCCACUUUCCAGUUGGAUGACUUUGGCUAAGUCACUUGACCUCUAUGAGUCUCUUUUCCCACCUGAAAAAGGAGGAUAAUAAUACCCCUCUUGCUUGGUUGACAAAAGGAAAAAAUGAGAUGACAUUUACAAAACAUUCAGCACCCAUAAUGGGUCCUCAGUGUAUUGUAGCUAGAGGGAAGCGUUCCCCCAACACCUUACGCUGAUUGUAUUAACAUAGGAGGAAGACACCCUGAAAAGGAAAAGCAGGAAUACACUUUGUAUUGUUACUACACAAGAGAUACUUGUUCACUGUAGAAAAUCAGAAAACAUGGAGAAGCAAAAAUUACAAAGCAAACAUUACUCAUAAUUCUACUACCCGCAAGAUAGUUAUUAUCAACCUUUUGAUAUAUUUCUUUUCAGAUCAUACAUACCUACACACACAUAUAUGCAUAUAUAUUGUAAAAUUUAGGAUUAUUCUAUACUUACUGUCUUGUAAGCUGCUUUUUACUCAACAACACAUUAUGAACAACUUUCUUUUCUACUCAAUAUAUAUCUCAAUAAAAUUUUCUGCGACUGUAUAAUGGCCCAUAGUAUGAACAGUUCACAUUUUACUUAAUGAGCCUCAGAGCGUUGAACAUUUUGUUGUUUACAAUCUUGGGCUAUAAUGAUCAUCUCUUAUGGCUAAAUUUCACAUCUUUAAUUUUUCCCAGGAGUGGAAUUAACGUAGGUUAUUAUUGCUGGAUCUGUCCAGGAAGGGAUUUUGAACCACUUCAGUAAAUAUCUGAGAGAGAAUCCAAAGAAAAUAAUCCCAGUCAUUACAUCUCCUCUUUCUAGUUUCCCAUGUGUAUUUCCUCAGUCUGAAAGUCAUGGAAGGAAAAACAGCUGAUUUGUCUUUUAUGAAAGAGCUUUCAAUGCAGAUUUUUAGAAAUUAAAUGAAGGUUUUGCCUUUAUUGCUCUAAGGAGUAAGUUCAUUAUAGAAAAGUUUACAAGGACAGAAAAGUAAAGGGAAAAAAAUCCCCCACUGUUUCAAUAGUUUUGGUUUGUCCUUUUCCUUCUGGACUUUUCUGUAUUUGUACUUGGAAAUUUAUAGACAAUUGUGUUCAUAUUGUGUGUAUAACAUCGUGUCUUGUUUUUUUCCGUUAGUCCUAGGAGCCUCCACAUUUUCCCAGGUUUUUCUAAACACAUCAGAAACAUCAUUAGAAUGUCUGCAUUGGCUGGAUUAUCCGGUGUAGCUUUUGACACUGGUCCCUCUUCUAGGCUGUAGAGAUUUAGGCCUAAAUCUUGUCCUCUUUCCCUACAAAGACCCUCACCUCCCAAACCCUAUAUCCUCUCGCCAAAGUUACUAGCAUCCCUUUCUUUGCUAGCAACUCUGCCAAAAUAGAUUCUUAUUUUCAUUUUAGUCAUCUUUUUUACCCUUUCUGCUUUAUUUCCUCUUCCCCAGGGCUGUGCCUCCACCUCCCAGACCUGAGAAGCACGUGGGAACCUGGAGGAGGAGCAGCGCAGAGACUGGUAUCCUGGCACCAGCCCAGCUGGCCUGCAUUUAAAUCCAGCUUGGCUUGAGAGCCUCGAGUACAGUGGACAGGCUCCAGUGGAACCGGGGUGUGCGUGCGGGUACGUGUGUGUGUGUAGGGGUCAUUGCCUGAUCACUCUACCCACACUGUAGCCCUUGGUUAGAAUAAAAAAAGCACCUUAUCUUCCACAUGAGGAUUGGGGGAUGCUAAGAAAGGUAGAGAUGGACUUUGGGGAAAUUGGUCACUUACUAUGGGUAGGUAAUCCUCAGUAAGAGAAAUGAUAUAUUCUUGAGAAGAACCAGGAAGAGAAGGAAUUUCUCCUUCAAACCAAGUGACACAUGCCUCCUGGGAUCCUGAGAGGCAGCAGGAGGUAGUGAAGAGAAUAUGAUGCGUGCUCUUUGGAACCAGGCAGACCUGGGUUCGAUUUCUGUCUUAGUCACUGAGUGACCUUGAAAAAAGUAACUAUCCUCUCUGUGCCUCAGUGUCUUUAUGCAAAAUGGCUAUGUUGUACUGAUGACAGAAGAUGCGCAAUAUACAGGAACUGGCAAGAUGUCUGGAACAGUUUCUUUGAGUUCUUAAAGUGACAAUGAGAGAAUGGGCCCUGACAGCACCCUUAGUGCCCAGAGCCUUGUAGGUGAUUGAUGCACAAGUGUGAAUAACUGGGAAAUGCAGGGCAUCCCAGAAUGCAUAGUCAUAGCCAUGAUAUCUCAUAUUUAUGGAGUCCACAUCCUGUGCUCUUGCUAACACUUCAUAGCCAUCAUUUCACAUAAUCAUCCCAAUAAUCCUGUGAAGUAGGAAUUAUCUCCAUGUUACAGGCUCAGAAACUGGGACUAGGAAGUAGGGACUCUGGGCUCAUAUCCCUCAUGACCCCAAAGCUGGCGCUUGUGACCAUUGGACCUAAAUCAUUGUCCCCAAAUCACUGUCCCCUCAUCUUCCACUUGGGGAUCUGGUGUCAGUUUCCACUCAAUGCUAGAAAAUCACUGUGAUAAAUAGGUUUAAACAAAUAGAACCACAUAAUCGGGGAACAUUAUACUAGGUAGUAUAACGCCUAGGAAAUAAAUCAGCCUUUUAAGUUUUAUAUUGCAAUACAGCUGAAAUGCUUAAUAAUUAUUGCCAGAGAAUGGUAUAAUGCAGUACUAAAAAUGAGUAAUUGAAAAGCCCAUCAAGGCAGAUGAGGCAUCUUCUCACUGAAUUGCUCUCAAAUACUUUACAUAAUUAUUUCAUUCAGAUUUAUGAUCAGCUCAGCAGAAUGUGUGUCUCUUUAUCCUGCUUUGCCUGAAGUUGUUCAGGAAUCCUUUUUAUAUUGUGCCAACACCUUCUGGGAUGGACAAACGAAUGUCUCUUGUACACUAAUGGGGCUUUCAAUGGUUUGAUUUCAUUUAGCAAAGGACAAGAUUGGGAGCGAAAACUCUGUUGGCUGAGGACCCUCCGUGUCCCAGUCACUGGGCUGGGGUUUAUAAGCAUUAACUAUGUUGGCUCAGUUAAAGUCCAUAGCAAUCCUGAGACGGGACUAUGUUUUCCAUCUCACAGAAGAAAAUGAGGCUCUGAGAAAUGGCGUCACUUAAUCAGAAUUGCCAGGCUCAUAGUGAACUCACACCCGGCAGUCUGGCUCCAAACCAGUGGCCUUUCCACCACAUCACCAGCCUCCAGCAAGACCCUGUGUGCCCAGAGAAGGCUUAGAUUUUUGGAAAGAGGAUUCUAGUAAGGUCAGAUGCAGAAAAAACUGAUCCUAGCCAGAUUUUAUUUGCAGCUCUGGCUUUUUAAACAUCUGAGUUGGUCCUCCACCCCCAUCCCUUCCUCCUCAUUCCUCCAUUCUUACAGUGUCAGCACCUCCAGGCGAGAGGGAUCCAGCCCUGUCUCCAUCAGGGACACAGUUUCCCAUGGAUUCAGCCUCCCCACCCUGCCAGAUCAUCCCAGGCUGUCGGAUUUAUCAGAGGCACAAGCUUAUCAGCUUGCCUCUCCCUGGAGCCCUGGAGUGGGAGUUCUUGGCAAAUUCCAUUCACUGGCAAGUGUGGACAGAUGGCUGCCUGGAUGAGCGGACAACCUUUGUUUCUGGUCUCACCCAUAUGUCAAAGUGGCCCAAACAAGGAAAAGUGGGGAGGGGGCAGGAGGGAAAGGAUGGGGCCACCUCAUAGGCAGGAAAAAUCCUAACAUCCAUUUUAUUCUAAACAUUGCAUUUAGAAGUUUAUAAAUAGAAGAGAGGGACUCUCUGACUCUUCCCCUCCCAAGCAUAGGACAGUGACAUUUCUGGCAUUUUUCUGGUUUUUCUCCCCAAAGCCCCAGUUUCCUCCUUACCCACGAUGCUUGCUUGGACUCUGCUUAUGUCAGCAGACAUCAGCACAGGGUCAACACUCUGCUCCUCUCCCCGACCCCUCGCCUUGAGAAUGAGGUAAGGUUCUGCUGAGGGUUAUUUCAGAAGGGGCUUAAACAGGUCCUUGAAUGUCUUCAUUCUCCAGGCUAUAAAAGCAUGUCAGAUUUCUCCUCACACAGCAGACAUCACGCAUGGACUUAAAUCUUACUGAAUAUGGUACAUGUCUGUGAAUGUCUCUGCUCCCUGGGGAAAUGCCAAACUUUGAUCUAACUGUAUUUUAACACUAAGAAUGUCUCUUAAAGAAGUGGAUUUAUGGCAAUUCUCAGUGGCUAUUUGUCAAACACAUCCAAUGUGGUUCCCAGCCUUGGGGGUACUAAGAGCCUCCAAAACAAAUCAAAUGUCUGAGGAGAAUGCAUUUGGUCUCCAUGAGCUCAAGGGUGGAGGGUUGGGGGAGACAACAUCAAGUCAUGCGGAGGCGGCACUGAGCUGGGCUCCGUGGGGAGGGAGCUGAGAGCCUGGCUCACGCCUUGCUGAGGAGCAGGAGAUGUGAGCGGUUCACCGGCUGAUGGAUGACAGGAAGAAGCUCUUCCAGAUAAUUAUUAGAAGCAGGGAAUCCGCUGUUGUCCUGUCAACACAGUGUAUUGUGGGAGAAAGAACACUGAUGAGAGGCGAGAGGGGUCAGGAAGAACACAGAGAGAGAAACAGGCAUAGGAAGUGCUCAUCAUUGGCCAUGGACUGUGUUAAGAAGCCUUCCUGAAAACCCCAGAGCCUGAGCCAGAUGUGCUGCACUCUAUGCCCACCUAGUCCUUUAUCUGCUCCUCUCCAGAGCUCCAUCGCUUCCGUGAACGUGAGCCUUGGAACCACCUGGGAACUUUGUGGAAAUAAUGAUGCCAGGCAGAUCAGUUGAAUCAGAAGCUCUCAGAGUGAGGCCGGGGUGGCAGAGCUUUUUUAAAGGCCCUGGGUGAUUUAGAUGGACAUUUAGGAUGACGAGCAUCUUGAGUCUAGUCUGUCGUAUCUGACUGCAGGGGCUGGAUCUACCUUGCUUACUUUUGUGUGACCAGCACCUAGCACUGGGUCUGGCACAUCACACAAAUUUAAUUAAUCUUUGUGGAAUGAAUAAAUGAAUUGAAUAAAAUUAAAGAAGUGUUAUUGCUCUCUCUCUUUUAUUU